UACGUAGGGACCGAGCGUUGUCCGGAAUCAUUGGGCGUAAAGAGCGUGUAGGCGGCCACUUAAGUCCUGCGUGAAAUCUUGCGGCUCAACCGCAAGCGGUCGUGGGAAACUGGGUGGCUAGAGUGCGGGAGAGGAGAGUGGAAUUCCUGGUGUAGCGGUGGAAUGCGCAGAUAUCAGGAAGAACGCCCGUGGCGAAGGCGGCUCUCUGGAACGCAACUGACGCUGAGACGCGAAAGCGUGGGGAGCAAACAGG
rnacentral:rRNA from 1 species